rnacentral:rRNA from 1 species
CAAUAGCGUAUAUUAAAGUUGUUGCGGUUAAAAAGCUCGUAGUUGGAUUUCUGCUGAGAACGACCGGUCCGCCCUUUGGGUGUGUAUCUGGCUCUUUCUUGGCAUCUUCUUGGUGAACGUUGCUGCACUUGACUGUGUGGAGCGCUACCCAGGACUUUUACUUUGAGGAAAUUAGAGUGUUUCAAGCAGGCAUACGCCUUGAAUACAUUAGCAUGGAAUAAAAAGAUAGGACCUCGGUUCUAUUUUGUUGGUUUCUAGAGCUGAGGUAAUGAUUAAUAGGGAUAGUUGGGGGCAUUCGUAUUUAACUGUCAGAGGCGAAAUUCUUGGAUUUGUUAAAGACGGACUACUGCGAAAGCAUUUGCCAAGGAUGUUUCAUUGA